AUGGUCCGGUGGAUCGUUCAUGGCAUCCCUAGAUUCCUACAGGAUGGUCAUAGCCGCUUUGAUGGCAUGUCAGAGUAUAAGUUGGAUAAGAAUGGGAAGAUUUACCAGCAUAAGGUGGACAAUGUUGCCACGAAUUCUCGAAAGAAGUUCAAGAUCUUGCCUGUCGAAGAGCUCAUCAGAUCACUCGGGUGCCCAUCCACUCCAAAACCAACUUACUUCAAGAUAACCUCACUCAUGCCGUUUUGGUUGAGAUGGACAUGGAUGAGAUAA
rnacentral:rRNA from 1 species